CCAAGAUGAACCAGGCCCUGAAACUUGAGGAACUCACAAUCCAGUCACACAGCUCCCCCUCAAGAGGAAAGAAACUUGGCAGAUGUGCAAAGGAAGCUCAGAGGGAUUAAGUAACCUGUUCAAUGUGUAAUACUAAGAAGUGG